UACGAAGGGGGCUAGCGUUGUUCGGAAUUACUGGGCGUAAAGCGCGCGCAGGCGGCUAUCCAAGUCAGUGGUGAAAGCCCGGAGCUCAACUCCGGAACUGCCAUUGAAACUGUUUAGCUUGAGGAUGAGAGAGGUGAGUGGAAUUCCCAGUGUAGAGGUGAAAUUCGUAGAUAUUGGGAAGAACACCGGUGGCGAAGGCGGCUCACUGGCUCAUUACUGACGCUCAGGCGCGAUAGCGUGGGGACCAAACAGG
rnacentral:rRNA from 1 species